rnacentral:tRNA from 1 species
GGGGCUGUAGCUCAGUGGUAGAGCGCUUGCCUAGCAUGUAUGAGGCACUGGGUUCGAUCCUCAGCACCACA